rnacentral:ncRNA from 1 species
GCCGUAAUUAAAAAUAACAGAUACCCUAGUGAAGAAGGGCUGUCACCCUGCUAGGACAUUCUUAGAGUAGUCUGUAUUAAGAAGGAUACCUUUUAAUAUAGGACUUAAGUGACAUUAUAAUUGAUAAGUCCACUACUUAUUAAGAAGAUGGAGCUUGAAGGUUACGGAAAGUACCAAUAGUUAGGAAUGGUGUAUCUAUACAGUUUAAUAUAAUGCCGCAACAGUGUGGGGAGAGCAAUAGACGCUUGAGAAGAGAAGAACCUUAAGUCUUAGUCCUGUGGUGGGAUUGAGCAGCUUAAGGAAUACCAACCAAUCUCCUUCGCUAUGAUGUUGUAGAAAUACAACUAUAACACACAACAGCGGACAAGUAGCCCAUAGGCGUUGAAGAGAAAAUAACUUUUGUUUGCGGACAAAAAAAAUGAUAGGUUAUUCUGAAUGAUGGGUGAAAGUUACAGGUAGAAAGUCCUGUCAUAGCAUUGGGGAGAAAUCCUGUGGUAAGAAGUUUAGAGGUCGCUCCUUUAAGCUCAGACUUAUCAUCUAUGUAGCAUAAUAAUAGCGGACUGUAUAGGAUAAGGCGAAAGCCUAUCUGUUUUUAUAAUUAUAU